UGCCUAACGCAUGCAAGUCGAGCGAAGUGAUCUCGAAAGAAGUUUUCGGACGGAAUUCUUGAUCAUCUUAGCGGCGGACGGGUGAGUAACGCGUGAGAAACCUGCCUUUCACAAAGGGAUAGCCUCGGGAGACUGGGAUUAAUACCUUAUGACACUUUAACCUCGCAUGGGGAAUAAGUUAAAGCGUAAAGCGGUGAAAGAUGGUCUCGCGUCCUAUUAGCUAGUUGGUGAGGUAACGGCUCACCAAGGCGACGAUAGGUAGCCGGCCUGAGAGGGUGAACGGCCACACUGGAACUGAGACACGGUCCAGACUCCUACGGGAGGCAGCAGUGGGGAAUAUUGCACAAUGGAGGAAAACUCUGAUGCAG
rnacentral:rRNA from 1 species